rnacentral:rRNA from 1 species
UAUACAGGUUGUUGCAUGGCUGUCGUCAGCUCGUGUCGUGAGAUGUUCGGUUAAGUCCGCUAACGAGCGCAACCCUCGUCGUAUGUUAUAUGUGUCAUACGAGACUGCCGGUAAAAGCCGGAGGAAGGUGAGGAUGAUGUCAAGUCAGCAUGACCUUUAUAUCCAGGGCUACACACACGCUACAAUGGUCUGUACAAUGGGUAGCCAAGCCGCGAGGCGGAGCCAAUCCUGAAAGCAGGCCUCAGUUCAGAUUGCAGUCUGCAACUCGACUGCAUGAAGCCGGAGUUGCUAGUAACCGCAGGUCAGCAAUACUGCGGUGAAUACGUUCCCGGGUCUU